rnacentral:rRNA from 1 species
UACAGAGGGGGCAAGCGUUGUUCGGAAUUACUGGGCGUAAAGGGCGCGUAGGCGGCCUUCUAAGUCGAACGUGAAAUCCCUGGGCUCAACCCAGGAACUGCGUCCGAUACUGGGAGGCUUGAAUCCGGGAGAGGGAUGCGGAACUACCGGUGGAGCGGUGAAAUGUGUUGAUAUCAGCAGGAACACCCGUGGCGAAGGCGGCCCCCUGGGCCGUACCUGACGCUGAGGCGCGAAGGCUAGGGGAGCGAACGGG